rnacentral:rRNA from 1 species
UACGAGGGGGGCGAGCGUUGUUCGGAAUUAUUGGGCGUAAAGGGUGCGUAGGCGGUUUGGUAAGUCUGAUGUGAAAUCUAUGGGCUCAACUCAUAGUCUGCAUCGGAAACUGCCGGGCUUGAGUGUGGGAGAGGUGAGUGGAAUUCCGAGUGUAGAGGUGAAAUUCGUAGAUAUUCGCAAGAACACCAGUGGCGAAGGCGGCUCACUGGCCCGGUACUGACGCUGAGGUGCGAAAGCGUGGGGAGCAAACAGG